rnacentral:rRNA from 1 species
UCCUGGCUCAGGAUGAACGCUAGCGGCAGGCCUAACACAUGCAAGUCGAGGGAGAGGUUACCUUCGGGUAACCAAAACCGGCGCACGGGUGCGUAACGCGUAUACAAUCUGCCUUUCACAUAGGGAUAGCCCGAAGAAAUUUGGAUUAAUACCUAAUGGUAUAUAGGAGCGGCAUCGUUUUUAUAUUAAAGCUACGGUGGUGAAAGAUGAGUAUGCGUUCUAUUAGCUAGUUGGAGAGGUAACGGCUCCCCAAGGCGACGAUAGAUAGGGGUUCUGAGAGGGAUGUCCCCCACACUGGUACUGAGAUACGGACCAGACUCCUACGGGAGGCAGCAGUGAGGAAUAUUGGACAAUGGUCGGAAGACUGAUCCAGCCAUGCCGCGUGCAGGAUGAAGGUCCUAUGGAUUGUAAACUGCUUUUGUAAGGGAAGAAUAAGGAGUACGUGUACUUUGAUGACGGUACCUUACGAAUAAGCAUCGGCUAACUCCGUGCCAGCAGCCGCGGUAAUACGGAGGAUGCGAGCGUUAUCCGGAAUCAUUGGGUUUAAAGGGUCCGUAGGCGGGCUAAUAAGUCAGAGGUGAAAGCGCUCAGCUCAACUGAGCAACUGCCUUUGAAACUGUCAGUCUUGAAUGAUUGUGAAGUAGUUGGAAUGUGUAGUGUAGCGGUGAAAUGCUUAGAUAUUACACAGAACACCGAUAGCGAAGGCAUAUUACUAACAAUUUAUUGACGCUGAUGGACGAAAGCGUGGGGAGCGAACAGGAUUAGAUACCCUGGUAGUCCACGCU